rnacentral:tRNA from 2 species
GGGCGCGUAGCUCAGUCGGUAGAGCAGCUGGCUUUUAACCAGCUGGUCGUAGGUUCGAGUCCUACCGCGCUCA